ACGGGAGGCAGCAGUGGGGAAUAUUGCACAAUGGGCGGAAGCCUGAUGCAGCGACGCCGCGUGGGGGAUGACGGCCUUCGGGUUGUAAACCCCUUUCGGCAGGGAACAAGCCUUCGGGUGAGGGUACCUGCGGAAGAAGCGCCGGCUAACUACGUGCCAGCAGCCGCGGUAAUACGUAGGGCGCGAGCGUUAUCCGGAAUUAUUGGGCGUAAAGAGCUCGUAGGCGGUUUGUCGCGUCUGCUGUGAAAGCCCGGGGCUCAACCCCGGGUCUGCAGUGGGUACGGGCAGGCUGGAGUGCAGUAGGGGAGACUGGAAUUCCUGGUGUAGCGGUGAAAUGCGCAGAUAUCAGGAGGAACACCGAUGGCGAAGGCAGGUCUCUGGGCUGUAACUGACGCUGAGGAGCGAAAGCAUGGGGAGCGAACAGGAUUAGAUACCCUGGUAGUCCAUGCCGUAAACGUUGGGCACUAGGUGUGGGGGCCAUUCCACGGUUUCCGCGCCGCAGCUAACGCAUUAAGUGCCCCGCCUGGGGAGUACGGCCGCAAGGCUAAAACUCAAAGGAAUUGACGGGGGCCCGCACAAGCGGCGGAGCAUGCGGAUUAAUUCGAUGCAACGCGAAGAACCUUACCAAGGCUUGACAUGUGCCGGACCGUCCCAGAGAUGGGGCUUCCCUUCGGGGCCGGUUCACAGGUGGUGCAUGG
rnacentral:rRNA from 1 species